CCUGAGAAACCCGAAAGUUUCGAAAGAGGAGACUCAUCGUUAGCGAUUGGUUCUCGUUCGCGUUGGGCGCGAUGUUUGAGACGCGGUGAUCAUUUUUAAUGUCGCCUGUCGAUUUCACGCGUUCGCUGCGUUACGUUUGACCUCGUUGACGUGCACUUCUCCUCUAGUAGGACGUCGCGACCCGCUGGGUGUCGAUUUAAGGGCAUUGGAUUCGACUGUCCCGUCGUUAACGCGUACGUGGGCAGAGUCUUUUGAAUUCCCCCCGAUCGACUGCCCGGCGGUAGUAAAAGAACGGUAUUCAGCCGCACGUAAAUGCGUUCAGACUCGCCGCAAGCCAUACCAUUGUUAUUCUCGGGUGUGCGCACUAUGUGUCGUCGCCCGGGAGUGGUUGGCUGUUGGCGCGCGAUGUUCUCGAACUGGCUGUGUCAAUGUAUAAUAUAUAUACCGGUCGGCGACGCUAUUGAUUUGGGUACUUUCAGGACCCGUCUUGAAACACGGACCAAGGAGUCUAACAUGUACGCGAGUCAUUGGGACUUUGAAACCUAAAGGCGAAUUGAAAGAGAAGAUCGACCUCGCGUCGAUCGAGGGAGGAUGAGCGUAGAUGAGGUACAUUGUGCCUCUAAAUGCACUCCGCACUCCCGGGGCGUCUCGUUGUCAUUUCGACUUGAGGCGCACCCAGAGCGUACACGUUGGGACCCGAAAGAUGGUGAACUAUGCCUGGUCAGGACGAAGUCAGGGGAAACCCUGAUGGAGGUCCGUAGCGAUUCUGACGUGCAAAUCGAUCGUCGGAACUGGGUAUAG
rnacentral:rRNA from 1 species